CGAAGAAUAAAUGUACCAGACGGGGACAUAGGGCAGUGAGGCCGAUAGAGGUCACGUACUAGGUACAAUUUGUGAAAGAUAUGAAGUAAUGAUGUGAUAUGAUUUGGAUUGUGUAUCUUUUUAUUAUAUUUUUCUAGAGUGUGUAAAAUGACAUUGCUUGACUGUCAUAUUAAAUAAUCUACUCACUGAGCAGUGUUUUGCUCAUCCCUCACC
rnacentral:lncRNA from 1 species